rnacentral:tRNA from 1 species
GGAGAGAUGCCGGAGUGGUUGAACGGGGCGGUCUCGAAAACCGUUAUUCUGCUUACGUGGAAUCGAGGGUUCGAAUCCCUCUCUCUCCG